UAGCGACAGGCCUAACACAUGCAAGUCGAGGGGCAGCACAAGGAGCAAUCUGAGGUGGCGACCGGCGCACGGGUGAGUAACACGUAUGCAACCUGCCUGUAAGCGGGGAAUAACCCGUUGAAAGACGGACUAAUACCGCAUAAUACUAAAUUACUGCAUGGUAAUUUAUUUAAACAUUUAUGGCUUACAGAUGGGCAUGCGCAUGAUUAGCUAGUUGGAGAGGUAACGGCUCCCCAAGGCAACGAUCAUUAGGGGUUCUGAGAGGAAGGUCCCCCACACUGGUACUGAGACACGGACCAGACUCCUACGGGAGGCAGCAGUGAGGAAUAUUGGUCAAUGGACGAGAGUCUGAACCAGCCAAGUCGCGUGCAGGAAGAAUGUCCUUAAUGGAUUGUAAACUGCUUUUGCAGGGGAAUAAAGUGCAUCACGUGUGAUGUUUUGUAUGUACUCUGCGAAUAAGGAUCGGCUAACUCCGUGCCAGCAGCCGC
rnacentral:rRNA from 1 species